GACGAACGCUGGCGGCGUGCUUAACACAUGCAAGUCGAACGGAAAGGCCCUGCGCUUGUUGGGUGCUCGUUUGGCGAACGGGUGAGUAACACGUGUGUAUCCUGCCCUUGACUUUCGGAUAACUUCAGGAAACUGGGGCUCAUACCGGAUAUAAUCUCUUGCUGCAUGGUGUGGGUUGGAAAGUUUCGGCGUUUCGGGAUGGACUCGCUGCUUAUGAGCUUCUUGGUGGGGUAGUGGCUUACCAAGGCUUUGACGGGUAGCCGGCCUGAGAGGGUUAACGGCGACAUUGGGACUGAGAGACGGACCAGACUCCUACGGGACGCAGCAGGGGGGAAUAUUGCACAAUGGGGGGAAGCCUGAUGCAGCAACGCCGCGUGCGGGAUGACGGCCUUCGGGGUGUAAACAGCUUUCGAAGGUGACGAAGAGUGAGUGACGGUAAUGAGUAAAGAAGCAACGGCUAACUACGUG
rnacentral:rRNA from 1 species